AUUGAACGCUGGCGGCAGGCUUAACACAUGCAAGUCGAGCGUGAAAGGGUUUCGGCCUGAGUAAAGCGGCGGACGGGUGAGUAAUACGCAGGAAUCUACCUGGUAGUGGGGGAUAACGUUUCGAAAGGGGCGCUAAUACCGCAUACGUUCUGAGGAAGAAAGCAGGGGACCGCAAGGCCUUGUGCUAUCAGAUGAGCCUGCGUCCGAUUAGCUAGUUGGUGGGGUAAAAGCCUACCAAGGCGACGAUCGGUAACUGGUCUGAGAGGAUGAUCAGUCACACUGGAACUGAGACACGGUCCAGACUCCUACGGGAGGCAGCAGUGGGGAAUAUUGGACAAUGGGGGCAACCCUGAUCCAGCCAUGCCGCGUGUGUGAAGAAGGCCUGCGGGUUGUAAAGCACUUUCAGUGGGGAAGAACAGAUUCGGGUCAAUACCCCGGAGCCCUGACGUUACCCACAGAAGAAGCACCGGCUAACUCCGUGCCAGCAGCCGCGGUAAUGUAGUCGUG
rnacentral:rRNA from 1 species